AUACCCCUACAGAGAAGGCAGAGAGAUGAAACCCUAAAUCCAUACAGAAGAGGUCACUGCCCCAAGAAGAAGCCAUCAUACUCAGGCUGGAGUGGGGAGAGGCUGUCCUGAACUGGACAGAGACAAAGUGGCGCUGGUUGCCUGGCCACGGUCCAGACAGCAGGGAAAACAGAGGCCAAACCAGUGUUAACACCAGGCUCCAAACAGCCGCGCCAGCCCCAGGAGAGAAAACCCUGCCACACCCCUGCGCCUGACAGCUGUGUUCUGUCUAGAGCUCCAGGUGAAUUAGGAGGGUGGGCUGCAGUCAGAGGCCACACCAGCUAGACCUCUGCCUUCCACAGCUCUGCUCACAGCCGCCCUAGACAAGCAGGGGCAACGGGCUGUCUUCAGGGAAAGAGACGGUGCUUUCUCGGGGAUCUGCUUCAUUGUGGUUCAAAGAGAACGGCACAGAGCUAAUCUGGGAAAACAAGGUCAGCUCAGCGUAUCGAGGCCAGCCUCUAGAGGAAGAAAACAGUUGUCUCCAUGGACAAAGACAGCCCUUGGCUUAACAAGCACGCCUCACACUCACACACUGCGACAAGCAAGACAAGGACAAAAGUGUGAGGUGAAGGCUGGAGGCAAGACGGGAACAGCUGAGACGAGGCAGGACCCGGGAGAACGGUAGUGACACAUCACUCAUGGUCCGUGCAAAGCCCAUCUUUAGUCGGAGUUGUUCGGCUCAGUGAGAACCUCACUGCAGGCUCAGAACAACUGACAAGCGCUGGUGAGAGGCGACUGAGACAGAAAAGAGCCGAGCGAGGCUCCCAGUGCCACCCGCCGGCUCCCAGGGCCACCCGCCGGCUCCCAGUGCCAGAAGCAUCAGUCACCCUCGGUCAGGGGGGCCAAAGGCAAACAGUUGUACCUGGGAGAUGGAACCACUGUCUGCAGAAAUAAAGAUACAGCCCGAGGUUCCCCAAAGACCCAGAGUGGCACCUCAGUCCCCCAACACAGGCUGUCUCAAACUCUUCACAAGUCCAGUUCUGUAGAAAACUGACCACCUGUGGUAAAGUACUCUCCUGGCUCCUAAUGCUGUACAUAGUGCUACCUCAAGCAAUGGGCUCACAGCCCCUGACAGCAUCACUUUCUAUGGUUUGUAACUUACCGACAAACACUCACAUCCAUGUUUUUUGUUUGUUUGUUUUGUUUUGUUUUUUUAGAUAGUGUCUCUCUGUGUAGCCAUAACUAUCUUGGAUCUUGCUCUGUAGACCAGGCUGGCCUCAAACUCACUGAGAUUGGCCUGAGUGCCGGGAGAAAGUUGUAUGCCACCACUGCCUGGCCCCCUGAAUAUUUUUAUUAUAGAAAAAGUUUAAAUAAAAUGAGCAAAGUUAGGGCUGGAGAGAUGGCUAAGUGGUGAGGAGCACUGACUGCUCUUCCAAAGGUCCUGAGUUCAAUUCCUAGUAAUCACAGGGUGGCUUGCAACCAUCUACAUGCCAGAAAACUGUAUACAUACUAAGUAAAUACAUCCUUAAAAAAUAAGAAAAGACCAGAAAUAACCCACAUAACCACCAUCCAGAUUUAUUUAAGGUGAGUUACAUCUCUAAUUUGCUCAGGUGUAGGAAGAAAACACCCAGGCCCUUACCCUUGACAUAAAUGUCACACCAACAGGAGGACAUCACUAACAGUCACACCAGCAGGAGAAUAUCACUAAGAGUCACACCAGCAGGAGGACAUCACUAAGAGUCACACCAGCAGGAGGACAUCACUAAGAGUCACACCAGCAGGAGGACAUCACUAAGAGUCACACCAGCAGGAGAACAUCACUAACAGUCACACCAGCAGGAGACAUCACUAAGAGUCACACCAGCAGGAGGACACGACUAACAGUCACACCAGCAGGAGGACAUCACUAAGAGUCACACCAGCAGGAGGACAUCACUAAGAGUCACACCAGCAGGAGGACAUCACUAACAGUCACACCAGCAGGAGGACAUCACUAACAGUCACACCAGCAGGUGAACAUCACUAAGAGUCACACCAGCAGGAGGACACGACUAACAGUCACACCAGCAGGAGGACAUCACUAACAGUCAUACCAGCAGGUGAACAUCACUAACAGUCACACCAGCAGGAGGACAUCACUAAGAGUCAUACCAGCAGGAGAACAUCACUAACAGUCACAUCAGCAGGAGAACAUCACUAACAGUCACAUCAGCAGGAGAACAUCACUAACAGUCACACCAGCAGGAGGACAUCACUAAGAGUCACACCAGCAGGCAGACACGACUAAGACUCCCACUGGAAUGGCACAAAGGCCCCCAUGCUUCUUUCCCCCUGUACCUGAAGGUGCCUGCCUCCUGGAGGGCAUCCUGAUUAGCAGCCUCCCUGGUGACCCACUCCUUUAGGCUGCGGACCUGGUUGUCUUCCUGCUUCUUUAGAAGCACAUGGAGGCGCAUCUUAGACUUCCGCAAAAAGGAGGCUGUGAAGACAGUGGGGGACCUGAUGUGGCCAGUUUUUGACCCAUCUUACCCAAGAGAAAAGCUGCCCGCCCUUUGGCCAGGAAAGUUCUGAAGGUGGUUACCCUCUCCACAUUAGGUGGGCGAUUCAGCGCUGGGGCACAGUGCUUACCGUUGCGCGCGUCAUCUUCAUUUAAGAGGCCAAGGAGAAUGGUGACUCUCCUCAUGUUGCGUGCACGGCUCUCAUUCUGGUCUCGGAGCAUCCCCACCGCGCUCUGCACACAGCUCCGCAGCAGUCUGGUGGUGUCUAGGACCUGUGAGCACCGAGGAGGAGGAGUGUAGGCUUCCACUGCGCCGGUUCCAGUCAGGACAAAGGCCAGGCCAGCAUUGUGAAAUGAUGGCUUUGUGUUAGCGGUCACGCGGCCCCAGUUGGUGGCCAUUAUGGCAAAAGUUACAACCUGUCAACCAUAUCCCUUGCUGACCAGCAUUAGCAAGUGGGUCAGGGAUGAAGGAAUGGGAUGGAACUAUUUAGUGAAGGGAACGACUCACUCUCCCCUCCCCCCAGUCAAUAAGCACAGGGGCUGGCUCUUUUAACUCCCAGGAGAGAGGGCAGAGCUGCAGCUCUCAUAGCCAAUGGGAAAAGCAGGACUCACAUCGCAGGCUCUGGGGUCAGACGCCGUCUCCGUCCCCUCUAGACCCUCCACCUCCAUUUUCUCCUCCGCCAUCUCCCCUGACUCGAUGGUCUCUAUCUCCAUCGCCUCCUCCGAGUCGUCUGGUAGGCAAAAGGCAAGGCAAACAUGCUCGAGUUAACAUGUGGGACUAGAACGUGUCGGACUACCUGAGAUGGGCUGGGACUUGCCAGGCUUCCCAGAAGUCCCUAUCAGUAGCAGUGGCCCUAGUCAAGGGAACAUGUGUUUUGUAUGUCAGCUCCAGCUCAGGCGCUCCCUAGCCUGGGCUCUCAGGGCCAGCAAAGGAACCAUAAAGUAGCCUGGCAUGCUGUGGGCACACUCGGGUGGCCUUCCCCUUGGCUCCACCACAGCUGGGACAGCAGAGUGGCCGGCCCCGCAUCCAGCACUAUGGCACUGCUGCACCUGGCAUUUCCCGCCUGUCACCAAACCACGUCCCCAGAUGGCUGACUUGUGACUCACACUCAGGUCUGUCCACUGGCUUGAACAGCUGGCUGAUGGUGACAUUCUGCAGCUUAGUGACAUCUGAGGCCAUGAUCGUGGAUCUGCGGAGGUCAUCAAUGUGGACAGACCGCCACAGCCCUGUGAAGGACAAAGUCACUGGAAUCUCCUGUAACGUAGCCAUUUUCUUCUUGUCAUUUAUGAACAAAGAAAUAAAACCAACCUGGAUCUCA